UCUUUUUGUUAUAAAUUUAAAUGUCUAACCUGCCCCCUGAUAAUUUUAAUGGCCGCAGUAUUCUGACUGUGCUAAGGUAGCAUAAUCAUUAGUUUUUUAAUUGGAAACUGGAAUGAAUGGUUGAAUGAAAAAUUAACUGUCUCUUUAUAAUUUAAUUAGAAUUUUAUUUUUAAGUUAAAAAGCUUAAAUUAUAUUAAAAGACGAGAAGACCCUAUAGAGUUUAAUAUAAAAUUUAAAUAUUAAUUUUUAGAAAUUUAUAAAUUAAAUUUAAAGAUAUAUUUUGUUGGGGUGACUGAAAAAUUAAAUAAACUUUUUUUAUAUGAAAAUAUUGAUUAAUAAAUAAUUGAUCCAAUAAUUUUGAUUAAAAGAUUAAAUUACCUUAGGGAUAACAGCGUAAUUUUAUUAAAGAGUUCUAAUCGAAAAUAAAGUUUGCGACCUCGAUGUUGGAUUAAAA
rnacentral:rRNA from 1 species